GAUGAACGCUGACAGAAUGCUUAACACAUGCAAGUCCACUUGAACUACGGUUUGGGUGGCGGACGGGUGAGUAACGCGUAAAGAACUUGCCUCACAGCUAGGGACAACAUUUGGAAACGAAUGCUAACACUAGAUAUUAUGACUCUCUGGCAUCGUAUAAUUAUGAAAGCUAUCUGCGCUGUGAGAGAGCUUUGCGUCCCAUUAGUUAGUUGGAGAGGUAACAGCUCACCAAGGAGAUGAUUGGUAGCCGACCUGGGAGGGUGUUCGGCCACAAGGGAACUGAGACACGGCCCUUAGUCCUACGGGAGGCAGGAGCGCGGAAGAUUGGACAGUGGACCGAGAGUCUGAACCAGGAAUUCGGUGUGCACGAUGAAGUUUUUCGGAAAGUAAAGUGCUGUCAGAUAGGAAGAAAAAAAUGACGGUACCAACAGAAGAAGCGACGGCUAAAUACGUG
rnacentral:rRNA from 1 species